GAUGGUCUAUUGGUGGUCUAUUGGUGGGCUAUUGAUGGUCUAUUGGUGGGCUAUAGAUGGUCUAUUGGUGGUCUAUUGGUUGGCUAUAGAUGGUCUACUGGUGGGCUAUUGGUGGGCUAUAGAUGGUCUAUUGGUGGGCUAUAGAUGGUCUACUGGUGGGCUAUAGAUGGUCUAUUGGUGGGCUAUAGAUGGUCUAUUGGUGGGCUAUAGGUGGUCUAUUGGUGGGCUAUAGGUGGUCUAUUGGUGGGCUAUAGGUGGUCUAUUGGUGGGCUAUAGGUGGUCUAUUGGUGGGCUAUUGUUUGACUAUUUGUAGACAGACUACAAUAUGAGCCAAAGCUAGAGGAUAUAUAAUAUAAGUGAUGAACUAUGUACAGGAACAUUUGUCGGUCACUAUAAAGACAUAGAACACACACAAUAACAUUUGGUAUUUAUUAUUAAUUUAAUCUUUAGGUUGGAAUUGAACACUUGCUAAUACAUACCAUUGCACAUUUCAUGUUUAUAUUGUAGAUCACGGCAGAUCAAAUACAAGUUUUUGAUGACA